rnacentral:rRNA from 1 species
GUGUCAGCCGCCGCGGUAAAACGUAGGAGGCAAGCGUUAUCCGGAUUCACUGGGCUUAAAGCGCGUGCAGGCGGUCCGGUACGUCGGACGUGAAAGCUCCUGGCUCAACUGGGAGAGGCCGUUCGAUACUGCCGGACUCGAGGGCAGGAGAGGGAGGUGGAAUUCCGGGUGUAGCGGUGAAAUGCGUAGAUAUCCGGAGGAACACCUGUGGCGAAAGCGGCCUCCUGGUCUGCCCCUGACGCUCAGACGCGAAAGCUAGGGGAGCAAACGGGAUUAGAAACCCUCGUAGUCC